rnacentral:misc_RNA from 1 species
GGCUUCUUUUUUUUUACGUUUUAUUACGCGUGUCAUGGAACAACAACGUCUUCUCACGCGCUGGGGCUUCACAAUUCCGUGGCGCAAAGAGGACAGCUGGUCGGCGUUAUCGCUGCGCACGGCCAUGCUUGGCUCGCACCACCAUGCCCCGUCUGAUUGGUGAAGUGAAGCAGCCACGGGCAUAUAGGAGCUAGCACUGGGGUCAUGGCUCGGGGACCCCGGAGUGCCGUACGCACGCCCAUCAGGAAGUUCUCCUCUGCGUGGUGUCUUCUGGCGCGCGCCAGCUGCUGGAGGCGUGCUGUGCCGGCUUCGCGCGUGUGACGCACCACGAUCACGUGAAGUGAUAAGGAGGCCUCCUGCUGGCACCCCAGGACUUUUAACUAACGCUAUUAUUGUUACAGUUUCUGUACUUUAUUG